GGAACCGAAGUAUGCACAGCCUCUUUAUUGCUAGAACCGCUAUAAUUUAAUAUUGAGCUAAUAAUUUGAGUUAAUAUUUAUAAAGCACUUAGAAAGAGCCCAGCACAUAGUAAUAGCUAUCUAAGUUUUCAUUGAAUAAAUAAGGCACUUUCCAGAUUGGUUGGGUGAAUUCUUAACCUAGUGACAAAAUACAGAAUCAAAAUACACAGCAAUCUAAAUUUUUUUUUACCUUGAUAAAGAUUUAGGAACUGUAGUGCUCUGUAUUUAUUCCCACAUUUCAAGUGUACCCUAUAUAGUCUCUUGUGCAGGUCUAAAAUUAUACUCAUGGUUCAGAAAUCAAUGUGCACAAUUAAAUAAUGAAAGAGUUCAAGUUUCAAGAGAUGAAUUCUCUUUCCUCUCUCUCCAAGUAACCACCACUAAAAAUGACAAACUCUAAAAAUCUCAAAGCACUCCUAGAUGUACAGCCGAAUGCUAAAAGUGUGGGAAUAAACAGAGACAAAUUCACUUGAAAAGAGACGGAAAGGGUUCAAAUCACAAGAGAACUUAAGGGAUAGCAAUGGCAUUAAAGUCUCAAGACACCAGGUCCGCUGACAACAGGUUGAUUCCCGUGCCCUCCACUCCCGAGGCCUCCUCCAUCCCUGAUCCUCGCAGGUGACCCGCAGCCACUUUCGACCUCAGGUUGGGGUCUCCCUCCCUCCCCGUUCCCAGCUCCUCUUCGCUCUGAAGGUGCGCACGGGUUAACACUGUCGGUCCACCGACACCACUCGGGCGUUUAGGAAUCAAAAAGCAGAAUCUGAAUCCACCACGGGGAGACAAAGACCACAAACUCUGAGUCGGGUGCUGAGGCGAGGGUAUUGCUUUUCCCCUUCCGACCAACUCGGAGGUUUCCGGGCGGAGGUGCGGAGAGCUGCCAGGGGACCCGGGAAAGUCACGUUUGCUCCGUGGAGCGGCGGCAGUCGAGGCCCGUGACCCCCCGCCGCGCCCCAUCUCACCCGCCCGGGGACCUCGGGCUGCGGUCCGGACGCGCGCGGCCCCUGCCGCCCGCCCCCGCCGUGGGUCGCCGCGGCCCCACACCUACCCGGCUCCGCGGGGCUCCUCCCGGCGCGGCGGGCGCGGAGCCGAGCGCACCCGCGCUUCCUCCUUCCCGGCAGGGCCGCCGGGCGCCGGCGUUUCCUCCCUGACGCGUCACGGCGGCAGGCGGCUCCUCCCGCGGAGGGCGCGGGCGGCCCGGAGACCGGCGGCGGGCAGUGCGCGGGGAAGGCGCCCGCCGCGGAAGCCGGCUGUCCGGCCUCUUCCCGGGGGACCCCUCCGAUCCCGGGCCGCAGCGCGAAGGCCGGCCCGCCUCUCCGUGUGCGCGAAGCUCAGGGACGCCGGGGGUCCUGUCUGGAGGCUCAGACUCCCCGGCGUUUCGCGCUGCUCAGUGUUAGCGACCUCUGCCCGGGGCCCGAGAGCCGCUUGGGCCAAGGCGCCCGGGGCCGGCCAGUGAAGACGACCCUGGUGUGGGCAAGGAGCAGGAGCGCUGGACCGCCGGAGGGAUCAGCGUCGCCCGAGGAAUGGCCUGGCGGACAUGUGGCUGGGGGUCACCUGGAAACUCAAGAGAAGUGAAAUAAGUAUCCAGAUAAUUCAGGGGAACAGCUAUGCUUCAUUUAGCAUUGUUUGAACAGCUUUCUACUUUUUUCAUCAGCAGAGUUUUGGCCUUUGGGUUUAUAGAUAGGAGAGAGCUUUCACAAAUUGGCAGAUCUGUGUACAGAGAAAUUUCCUUUCCAUGCAUCUUUUUAGGUUUACUAACUUUAUUUAUUUAUUGCAUUCCCAUUAAUCUCCAAGUCAGCACACUUUACAGCUUCCUCUUACUCUUUCUUAUUCUUUAAAUAUAGAAGUUGCGUUUUUGACUCCCAUUUCUCUAUUUUUUUCCAGAUAGGAUAAAGAGAGGUACAGAAGGUGAAUGGAGAACUAAGAAUUAUAUGAUUCAAUGGGUGUGGAGUAAAGUGGUCAAGAUUUUGAAGCAGAGUGUUUUGUUUUGUUUGUUUUUUGCCGCACAACACUACUGUAAUUUAAAUUUUAUCAGAUAUCACUUGAAGAUAGACUCAAACAACUAUUUAAAGAUUCCUAUAUGCGUAACGUGCUUCAGAUUUUGAGGCAAUUGUCUGCUGUACACCAUCUGAUUCCAGAGAAUUUGCUACAAAUCUAUGAACAAGUAAACUUCCAGAGAUGAAAUGCCCAGUAGGAGACAUGGACCUCUAUAAAGGAUUGGUUAGCAUGAUAUAGUGGAUCAACGGAUGCUGUAGCCAUGUUGUUUUUGUUUCUGUUUGAAUAACUGGGCUCUGACCCUAAUGAGCUGCAUGACUUGGAGCAAGUUAUUCAACAUCUUUGCACCUCUUCUUCCUCAUCUGUAAAACAGAGACUUUUAAUAGUGCUUACCUCAUGGAUUAAAUGAGCUUAUAUCCACAAACUCUUAGAAUAAUACCAGGCACAUAAGUGUUUGUCAAAUAAAAUGAAUAACACGUACAUGGAUCUCUUGUGUGAAUGCUGGUCUCACAGGCUCAUAAACAAUUCUGAUGAGGUUGUCCCAUUGAGUCAAACUGUCAGGUCUGUGAUUUGAUUUUAUCCUACUUACAAGCCAACAAGUUAGCCUGUUACUGUUUCACAGAUGCUGGAAGAUGACACCAGACAUCUGAGUCAGAGAAAAAGAAGCUUUUAUCUCAAUGCACAGCAUAAAAAGCAUGAACAUCAGAAUGUUUGCAUCAAUUCCUCUUGCCUCCAAGUUCCACAGGAGUGAUGCGAAGGGGCCCGGAUAGAUGCCACACAUGCAGUGGGUUGUGUUGCAGCAAGGAAACAAUGAGCUUGGAGAACCCACUGCUUUUCUGGCAAGCAGCAAGCUCAGCCAGCUCUUUGUCCCAGAGGAGAUGAUACUUCAUCUCUCAAGAUUGCUUGCUGCAAACAAACCAUGAAAAAUGGCUUGGGUAAAGAGUGGUGUGGUGGAAAGCCUGGAAGAUGGCCCAUAAUGGUUCUUGCCUCUGGGUAUUCACUCUUUUGCAAAUCCCCUCCAGUUGACUGUGGGCUGGACUUACCGACUUACUUCUUACUAACUGAAUACAGCACAAGUGACAGGAUGUUGCUCCUGAGGUGAAGUUAUAAAAAGACUGUGGCUUCUGUCUUGGGCACCCUCUCAUGUUCUCUCACUCACUCACUCUGAGGGAAGACAGCUGUCACGUUGUGAGUUGCCUUAUGGAGAGACCAGCAUGGCAAGGAAAGGAUGUCUUUGGCCAACAGUCAGCAAGGACUUGAGGCCUGCUAACAGCCACAUAAGUGAGCUUGGAAGCAGAGUCUCCCCCAUUCAAGGCUGGACAUGACUGCAGCCCUGGCCUACACCUUAUUGCAGCCUUUUCAGAGACCCUGAGUCAGGGGCACCUGGCUAGGCUGCACUCAGCUUCCUAAUCCACAGAAACUGUCAGAAAAUAAAUGUUUAUUGUUUUAAACCUAUGCAGUUUUGGACUAAUCUGUUAUGCAGUAAUAGAUAAGUAAUACAAGUGGUCAGGCCUUGAAUUCUUGGCAUACUGAGCAAGACAUGCAGAGGCAUGAGAGACCCAUAGAUAACCAUUUCCCAACACCAGUGUAAAGCUACAACCCAGGGUAGGCAAUCCCAUCUUCCUUGAAGAGGGUUGACAUGCUUAAUGUCUAGCAUCUAGGAAAGAGGCAGAUACUGAGACAGGAGACUAGAAUUUCAAAGGAAGCCCUGAGCUGAAACCAGCUUUACCAAUCUUGGAGCUAGUUUUCCAAGAAUUUUCCUUGCUUGAGUACAUAAUGCAGGGUAGAAAAAAGUGGCUUCUGCUUUGUGCAUGCAGUAGGAAGCCAGGUAGGCAGGAAUCCUUUUACGGUGUCAAAUGUUGAAAUGCCUACACCACGUUCAGUGAACCAGAUUAUCUAGUUGUAUAUUACUGCCUGUACUCAGUUGCCUUCUGUUCAUCUGGACUCCUUUGUAAACUUUUGUUUAAAUAUUUCCCCGCCGCUUAUCUAUACCCUGGGGAAUUGAGUGAAACGCUUGAGCUACAAUAUUAAAGAAGAUACAGUGCCCCCUGGAGGCCAGAGUGGUAAUGCUCAGAGACCCCCAAGAGGCAGGAGAACCUGGGGGGACGGCAAGGCUCCUUAUAAAUGCUAAUGAAAUAUUUGAUAAAAUUAAAAACCUCUUUGAUUUAAAGCCUUUAAGAAAUUGUUAUGAAAAUUUGUAACUAUGUGUGGUGAUGGAUGUUAACUAGACUUAUUGUGGUGAUCAUUUCAUAAUAUAUACAAAUAUUGAAUCAUUAUGUUGUACCUGAAACUAAUAUAAUGUUAUGUGUUAAUUAUAUCUCAAUUUUUGAAAACUCAUUAAUUCUAAGUAACUAAAAAAUAAAAAUAAGGAAAG
ensembl:lncRNA